rnacentral:rRNA from 1 species
UAACAAGGAUUCCCCUAGUAACUGCGAGUGAAGCGGGAAAAGCUCAAAUUUAAAAUCUGGCGUGCUUUGGCCGUCCGAGUUGUAGUCUGGAGAAGUGUUAUCUGUGCUGGACCGUGUACAAGUCCCUUGGAACAGGGCGUCAUAGAGGGUGAGAAUCCCGUCUUUGACACGGACUACCAGUGCUCUGUGAUGCGCUCUCAAAGAGUCGAGUUGUUUGGGAAUGCAGCUCAAAAUGGGUGGUAAAUUCCAUCUAAAGCUAAAUAUAGGCGAGAGACCGAUAGCGAACAAGUACCGUGAGGGAAAGAUGAAAAGCACUUUGGAAAGAGAGUUAAACAGUACGUGAAAUUGCUGAAAGGGAAACGCUUGAAGUCAGUCGCGUCUGCCAGGACUCAGCCUUGCUUUUUUGCUUGGUGCACUUUCUGGUAGAUGGGCCAGCAUCAAUUUUGACCGUCAGAAAAAGUUGGAGGGAAUGUGGCACCUUUCGAGGUGUGUUAUAGCCUUUCAUCGCAUAUGACGGUUGGGAUUGAGGACCGCAGCACGCCUUUAUGGCCGGGGCUUUGCUCACGUAACGUGCUUAGGAUGCUGGCUUAAUGGCUUUAAGCGACCCGUCUUGAAACACGGACCAAGGAGUCUAACAUGCCUGCGAGUGUUUGAGUGGUAAAACUCGAGCGCGUAAUGAAAGUGAUAGUUGAGACCUCUGUUGCGGAGGGCAUCGACGCCUGGACUUGAUCUACGGAGACGGUUCCACGGUAGAGCAUGUAUGUUGGGACCCGAAAGAUGGUGAACUAUGCCUGAAUAGGGUGAAGCCAGAGGAAACUCUGGUGGAAGCUCGUAGCGAUUCUGACGUGCAAAUCGAUCGUCAAAUUUGGGUAUAGGGGCGAAAGACUAAUCGAGGCAU